GUCACAGGGUAUACGAGGUCCGCCAAAUGUAUGACU
rnacentral:sRNA from 1 species